rnacentral:rRNA from 1 species
CGCGUAACACGUAAGCAACCUGCCCGAAAGACCGGGACAACAGCUCGAAAGGGCUGCUAAUACCGGAUGUGUCCGUCUUGUCUCCUGACUUGACGAGUAAAUCAUUUAUGGCUUUCGGAGGGGCUUGCGGCCUAUCAGCUAGAUGGCGGUGUAACGGACCACCAUGGCGACGACGGGUAGCUGGUCUGAGAGGAUGGUCAGCCGGACUGGGACUGAGAUACGGCCCAG